CCUACGGGAGGCUGCAGUGGGGAAUAUUGGACAAUGGGCGAAAGCCUGAUCCAGCCAUGCCGCGUGUGUGAAGAAGGCCUUCGGGUUGUAAAGCACUUUCAGUGGGGAAGAAAGCCUUGGGGCUAAUACCCUCGAGGAAGGACAGCACCCACAGAAGAAGCACCGGCUAACUCCGUGCCAGCAGCCGCGGUAAUACGGAGGGUGCGAGCGUUAAUCGGAAUUACUGGGCGUAAAGCGCGCGUAGGCGGUCUGAUAAGCCGGUUGUGAAAGCCCCGGGCUCAACCUGGGAACGGCAUCCGGAACUGUCAGGCUAGAGUGCAGGAGAGGAAGGUAGAAUUCCCGGUGUAGCGGUGAAAUGCGUAGAGAUCGGGAGGAAUACCAGUGGCGAAGGCGGCCUUCUGGACUGACACUGACGCUGAGGUGCGAAAGCGUGGGUAGCAAACAGGAUUAGAUACCCUAGUAGUC
rnacentral:rRNA from 1 species